rnacentral:tRNA from 1 species
UUUAAUGUGGCAGAAUAUUGUAAUGAGCUUAAAAUUCACGCAUAAGAUUUUAUCUUUUUUAAAA